CCUACGGGAGGCAGCAGUGGGGAAUAUUGCACAAUGGAGGGAACUCUGAUGCAGCGAAGCCACGUGAGUGAAGAAGUAACUCGUUAUGUAAAGCUCUAUCAGUAGGGAAGUAAGAGACGGUACCUGAAAAAGAAUCUCCGGCUAAAUACGUGCCAGCAGCCGUGGUAAUACGUAGGGAGCAAGCGUUAUCCGGAUUUACUGGGUGUAAAGGGAGAGUAGGUGGCAGAGCAAGUCCGAGGUGAAAACCUGAAGCUCAAAUAUGGGAUUGCUUUAGAAACUGGUCAGCUUGAGUGCAGGUGAGGCAAGUGGAAUUCUUGGUGUAGCGGUGAAAUGCGUAGAUAUUAGGAAGAACCCCGGUGGCGAAGGCAGCUUACUGAACUGUAACUGACACUGAGGCUCGAAAGCGUGGGGAGCAAACAGGAUUAGAUACCCGAGUAGUC
rnacentral:rRNA from 1 species